GGAGGGUUACCCCUAAUGGUAAGGGCGUGGAUUUAUAAUCCACCGUGGCUGGCCGUCACUUGCGGGUUCGAGUCCCGCACCCUCCG
rnacentral:tRNA from 1 species